rnacentral:lncRNA from 1 species
CGUCGUGGCCGUGGUGCUGCUCGCCGCGGCGGCCUCCGAGGCCGCCAUCAGCUGCGGCCAGGUCAACUCCGCCAUCGGCCAGUGCCUCCCUUACGCCCGCGGCCAGGGCUCCAAACCCUCCGACGCCUGCUGCAGCGGCGUCAAGAGACUCAACUCCGCCGCCACGACCACCGCCGACAGGCGCGCCGCAUGCAACUGCCUCAAGAACGCCGCCAGGGGGAUCAGCGGCCUCAACGCCGGCAACGCCGCCAGCAUCCCAUCCAAGUGCGGCGUCAGCAUCCCCUACUCCAUCAGCACCUCCACCGACUGCUCCAGG